GAAGUAAAAGUCGUAACAAGGUUUCCGUAGGUGAACCUGCGGAAGGAUCAUUAUCGUACAAAAUGUGUGAGGCAUGCAAGGGUUGUCGCUGGCUUUCAACGUUGUUGCACGCCGGAGCGUGUCCUCUCACAUAACACAAUCCAUCUCACCCUUUGUGCACCACCGCGUGGGCACCCUUUGGGAUCGGACCGAUCUCUUAGGGGACUCGCGUUUUCACACAACACCCUUUUAAAAAGUGUAGAAUGACCUCAUUUAUGCGAUCAAUACAACUUUCAACAACGGAUCUCUUGGCUCUCGCAUCGAUGAAGAACGCAGCGAAAUGCGAUACGUAAUGUGAAUUGCAGAAUUCAGUGAAUCAUCGAAUCUUUGAACGCACCUUGCGCCCCUUGGUAUUCCGAGGGGCACACCCGUUUGAGCGUCGUGAAAUUCUCAACCUCCUCGGUUUCUUCUGGAGACUGAAGGAGGCUUGGACUUUGGAGGCCUUUGCUGGCGUGUCUCGCCAGCUCCUCUUAAAUGAAUUAGCGUGGUCCUCUUUGCCGAACCUCGACACGUGAUAAGAUGCUUCCGUGUCUCGGUUUCUGGCUCUGUUGCUUUUGGGACCCGCUUCUAACCGUCUGGACCUUGCGUCGAGACAAUGUUCGAGCUCGUAUCCCUUCUUGGGAAACCCCCUCGACCCCACGAACCCUUGGCCUCAAAUCGGGUGAGACUACCCGCUGAACUUAAGCAUAU
rnacentral:rRNA from 1 species